AAAUUGAAGAGUUUGAUCAUGGCUCAGAUUGAACGCUGGCGGCAGGCCUAACACAUGCAAGUCGAACGGUAACAGGAAGCAGCUUGCUGCUUUGCUGACGAGUGGCGGACGGGUGAGUAAUGUCUGGGAAACUGCCUGAUGGAGGGGGAUAACUACUGGAAACGGUGGCUAAUACCGCAUAACGUCGCAAGACCAAAGAGGGGGACCUUCGGGCCUCUUGCCAUCAGAUGUGCCCAGAUGGGAUUAGCUUGUUGG
rnacentral:rRNA from 5 species